GGCGGGGGGGGGGGGUUUGUCGAAUGGCGCUGCGCGUGUUUCACUUCAGGAGGGCGCCUCCCUUCCCUACGCUGCACCACUGACCUACUUUCAGCCUUCAAUAACGCUGUGCUACUAUUUUCGUGAAUGUACCUAUUCCAUCAAACAAAGAACAUUGAGCUUAUAUUGGUAUGUUGGAAUUGACCCCUCUUAAUAAACUUUUGUUACUGUUUGUGACAAAUGGACUAAUAGAGAGUUAUGUUCGUGACGAGUUCUGUGGAUAUUGUUUUCUGUUCACAUAUUCUUUUAGGGGAUAUUUUCCAAGAAUAAAUGUUAUUCAUGUAGCCAUGUCACCUCAGGAUGUCAAGUACAUACUUUGAAGUGACCUACUAGGCGUUUGGUUAUUAAUUCCCUAGAAUUAUUCGAUAAAUAAUCACGUCACGCAGUAAUCUUUCGCGUUAUUAUCAUUAGCCUCUUUCUAGGAACCUAGUCAAACCGUAUUUAUAAGUUUACCACAAAUGUAUUCUAAGAAAUAGUACGAAAUGUCGAAUAUCUGUUAUGGCAAUAGCUUAACAGAUUGAAUAAAUACAGAUAUUUUUUAGCUAAGUUAUAAGAUAAUCAACCAAAUUUUACGUUUUUAGUGAUGUCACAAAAUAAUUGCAAUCUAAUACAUAUCUUCACUAUGUAGAGUCGAGUAAGUUCUAGUCGUUUAUAAUAGAAAGUAUGUAAAACGUAUGUUGAGAAUAACCCUAUAGUGUCUAUGUGUGUCGUCGGUACGGUUACACGUGCCGUCCGGCUUGUAUGUGUGCAAUGCAGUAGUCGAUGCCAGUGUGCACCUAUAUCUGUGUGCAUAGUACUUUGUUACAGCCAGUAAACAUCAUAAACUAAGCCUGACUCACCCGUUUCAUCUAUACUUUGAAUUGAGAUGAUACUCUUAUAUGUGACAAGGAAUAUGCAAAAAAGACAGUUUGUAUUAAAUGACUCUCCUACUAAACCUGAGUUUUAAGAACUUAACAAACAAAGGAUGUUGGGAGUGAGAUUUUUUUGUACACAGAAAAUAGUCUGUUUCCAAAAUAAGAGUUUAAGGUGGUUAAUUAUAAAGAGUGUUUGUAUAUCAUUCACUAAUUAGUCCUUCAAUAGUAUUGCACCAGUGCAAUAUGUAAUAUAAUACCUACAUUGUAUUUACUUUUGGCUCCAUUAGAUUAACGAUUAUGACAUCAUUGAUAUUCUUAAAUUUACUUAACGUAGGUAGCUGUAUUUGCCGGUAAGUUUUAUAUAAGAAAAAAACAUUUGAACCGGUUUGCCGUUAGCUAAAAGAAACUACAACCAACCAGCCAAGAAAUAUUAACCGACUACGUUCUUGUUUUAAGUCUGUAAACAAGUAGCGAUUGAAUAAAAUUAUAUUUUAUGACACCGGAAUAGGGUCGAAAUUGGAAUAUUCUAUUAGUUGCAUAUAAAACGUGCCGGCAUAAAACGCCGGUUUGUUGUGGCGCUAUCUCUUUCCAACGUGAAACGCCGCUAGAUGAUAAUAUUGAUUUGUUUUCAUUGCGUCUCUCUUUUACCCACGAGCGAGUAAGAUAAGUCUGUUUCAUCGACUUGACCUUCCUUAUUUACACUCACACACGCAUGAUUUCCACAGUGCCAGAUAAGUUGUUUUCGCGUCAUCUCCUUCUAGCUCUAGAAACGAAGCGAACGAGGAAGACGCCAUUUAACGAGAUGCGUUGCGUUACUGGCUGCGUUUUGCCGGCCGGUACUGCGGAGCGCAGCACUCGUAGCCCCGCGCCGCGCGCCCGCUGGUUAACAUAAUGUAGGCCAGCGCAGACAGGCGACAGGGAACCAUUUGCGUCGCAUUGUCGCUGAAUCGUGUCACGGCUCACACAACUCAUAUUAUUUAAUUAGCCACUCUGAAAGCUGUCAUGCUGCUAGGAAUUAUCCGAGAAGCUAUUCUCUACAUACUACUCUAGCUAGAAUUCAUAAAUCUAACUCUAAAUAUUUUAAGUAGAUGACUUGAAAGUCUUCAUUAAAUAAACCAUGUGUCAAUGUUGUUAUGAUUGUGCGUACGUUUCGACCAACUUAUUUGGUGCGUGGGAGGAGUGUAGAGGGACGUAGAGCGCGCGAGGGGCGUGGAGGGCAGGGGGAGGGGGUAGAGUUGCCGGCGCGGGGUGGGAUUCUCACGUGGCUAGGCUAGCGGCUGUGUUUCAAAACAAGCUUUGUCCACUAGUUGCAUGUUUACAAAGAAAAACCUCUCCAAAUCAUGAAGUUGUUUAAAAAGUAAAAUACAAGAACCAUUUCCGCUAAGCAAUAUCCGUAAACUUAACGGUAACGUUUUUUGUCCUUACGUAUUAACAUCAGAAUAGUUUCACUACCUUUGUUUCGGAGUGAGAAAUAAUUCAUUCACAACUAUACAUUUGUACACUUAUUUACUAUUGAUAAGUAGGUGUAUUAAAUUCAGGUAGCUUGUAUCAAAAUAUUCAUAUUAUGUAUUUAACCAAGGUCACCAGCAUUAAUUUAUUUGCGUACACAAUAAACACUUGGUAUGAAUUCGAAUAAUGAUGUUUUUACAAUACUAGUAUUUUAUAAAUAUUUAUAAAUAUGUAGGUAGUUUCAAAUGUAGCGACAAUAGAGUUAGACGUCCACCUUCAGUGACGUAUCAAGGCAACAAUCUUGUGAAGUUAAAGUGAAUGAAUAACCUUUGUUAUGUAACUUUAGUCACACAAAGAAAUUAGAAGAGAUGGAGCGAUGAUGCAUGAGCGAGAAAGCGCGAGCGGCGUGCACCCCAUGCAGCCAGGGGACGACCAGGAGCAGGGCAGGUCACUGAACUGACAAUACUUUACCCCUACGGCUCGAGGAACCGCCAAACGUUACGUUCUGACGUUUGACCCCCCGGUGAGCCUAAUUUGUAGCUUAUUUGAUGCUUUCAAAUAAAUUAGAGCUUCCGAAAGAAUACAAUCAACGACAUAGUUAACGUUAUCCGUCAGUGGUACAUAAAAUAGAUCAAAAACGAUACGGUGAGUUCAAGCUAUGCCAUUUAUGAUACAAAUAAAAUAAUCACGAAGAUAUAUAGAUUAGUAAAGAAAUGUGCUACAGGUGGCGCGGAUGCAAUGAACUCAGGUCCAAAACAUUCCCCUCGGGUGACCCGCGGGCGGCGGGUGCGGGCGGUGCACCCUCAUCACUUCAUGUUUUUCACUCAACCUACCUACGCCGACAGAGCCGACACACACACAUCCCAGAAUGUGGACAGAACACAUGAAAAAUGCCUGGUGGCAAGAAACUACGCAGCGUUCGUUCGCCUCAUCUCAUUGUGAGAAGCGAGCUAUGUUCACUAUUGUUUGAUGCGAUUGGUAUUUGGAUUAUCAGAUGUCGUUGCAUUGUCAUUGUUAAUUUGAUCGGUUUUUUAACAAUAUAGAAAUUUAUACGAAUUGAAUUAAACCUGUGAAUCGAUCUAUUUAUCAAUUUAUUGUUUAUUAAGUAAGUAAGAGCGGCUUGAUACUUUUAGUUGAACAAAAACAAAAUCAAGCACGGCGCAGCGCACGUGUUGAGUUAAACGGUCAAAGGUGACAGGCGUCAUUUGUCGUGACUGCCGGCUGUGGGGCACUCUGCGUCAUCCUAAACUACUACAACAAAUAGGUCGCCUUAAAGUGAGAACGACUCUAUUGUUUUAAUUAAUUAGUUCAGAAAUCAUUUUUCUUGUAAAAAUUGUGUCCAGUUUCAAUUGUUUUAUUCAGGUCUAUAUUUCUUCUAUGAGUCAUGUAUUACAAAGCUUUCGAGUGGUGGUGAAAAAGAUGACGAAUCAGACGCGUGGGGCAGUCGCCAAUCGUUGUAGAGCCGCGAACGCUUUGGUCACCGACCCCUACAGGUUCUAACUUGUUACCAUUUUACUUUUUUCUAUAAGUAUAAUAACAGGACGAGCUUAACCGGCUUAUUUUUAGAGAAGAUUCUUUAGUCGUUAGCAAAUCACAAAAGUAGAAUCAUACGAUAUAGCAGUGUUCUUGUUAGUUGUAGUCACCUAUUUAUUUGUUUUCGUUUCACUUUUAUUUUUAUAAAAUUAUGUAGACAAAAAACUGUAAUAGCCGUAGCUGAAGAGUUAAAUGAUUUAUAAAAACUACCUUUGGACCAUAUCACUUUCAUCUUUUCAUAUCAAAUCAUUUUACUUUGCGUAUUAGUUAUAUAAGUUACUAAAUAAGUUAAGUAACUAAGUAAGUAGUUAAGUAAGUUACUAAAUAGAGACUAUUUAACUUAAUAUUACAGCACGAAUACAAAUCUCACGUUAAUAUGAAUUGAUAGAGAAAUAAGGAGAGAUUGUACUGUCAUAAGAUCUUUGGCAACCGCUCAACGUUUGCAAACGACACGAUUUUAAGUGUAUUAAAAGAUUGGUCGACUCAAGGAAUCUGGCGAAACAGAAUCAGACGUCGCAAUAUACAUUAUUUUGUGAAAUGAGAAGUUUGUUGAACCCGCGGGACUGCUCAUUAUCGCGUCUGAUGAACUCGUCAUACCAUUGUUCCAGCCGGUGAUACUCUACGCCGCUUAUAGGUAUGUCAUUUUGUCAUUACGUACCCGCUUACAUGCCCACAUGCAGAUAUGCAAGUAGCCACGUCCCUCCGGCCACACCGGUACUAGAACGCGACCAAAUCUAAAGAAGUACACCCUCGAUACAACCAAGACAAUUCCAUUACUAGAACGAAUUUACGGUUACCCCAAAAUGUUGGUUGUAAAUAAAACAGAUAAGUGGAAACUAAAGCGUAGAGCAUUACAAUAGUCAUAAGCCAUAAAAUCGCUGUCGCCGCGGCGCCGAUAAUAACGGUAAUCGAAGUUUGUUGAUUGUACCCAAGGUUGUAAUCCGUACCCUUGAUAUAUACGACGUGAAGUGAAAAGCAAGUGAUCCUUCUAGAUUUAAAACCCAAGUGUAAACAUUUAAACUGUCAAGAACGGGCAGUGAACCGGCCGCAGUGUCAUUGCCCUGCCAAUGCCGGUUAAAAAAAACGCAUUGCCUCCAUCUAUCUAUCCGCCGACGCCGCGAGACGUGCGUUUGUAUCAAGAAAAUUCAGUGCCAAUAUCAAUUCAUUUUGUUUGUAAUUUGCGAAUAAUUUUCAAGCAUAGUUGACUAAUAUUAAUGCGAAAGAAAACCCAAUAAAUCUGUUUUAAUACCUCUACAAAUAAAGUGAUAUUUAAAUCCAACAAAAAAGACAACAUUAAAUAUGUUGUUGUCCUUUGCCGAUGAUCGCGGUUUUGGUUAAGUUUUACAAGGUGUUGAUGUUGCCACAAUUGAUAAGAAGUCGCCUGAAAGUAGCUGAUUAAUCAGGAUUGACAAAGAUCGAAAAUCCUUCGCUUAAGUAAUUACCACCCACUGAAUGUCGUGUGACACGCAAAGGGUUGUAACUGUAGCACUUCCUUUGUUCAGUUUAAUUGUGCAAGGUGGUAGAAAUAAUUGCCCAAUGUGGGUACACACCCAUAAUGACCGUAACCGCAGCUGGUUGGUGUGCCCGUCAGAUACUGGUCAAUGUCUUGUCGGUCGGUGUUUUUGACCGCGCCAAGGUCGCCAGGAUAGGGGUACGUGAACUUUAUGGCGCCUUUGUAGUGCGCCCGAGAACUUUCACUGCUUAAUGACAAACUGAUGAGUAUAAUGAGGUCUCGUGACGAAAAUUCGCGCAAACGAUAAAAUAACCCAGUGAUAUGCGCAGGGUUAUUAGAACGAGGGAGUUGUGUGGUGCUAGGGCGAUGACCCGCAGAGCGAGACGGAGCGACAACAACACUGAAGUUCGUGCGGUGGACGCAGCGCCGCCGCGCCGGUAUACCGUGCUUGAGACAUUGUUUCAAACUGAAUCAUAUUUCUUUACAGUGCAAGUAAACUGAGACUGUUACAUAACAAAUAACUUUCGUCAACAUUUUCCAGAAUCGUUAAAAGUUAUUAUUUUUGUGUAAAUUACUAUGGUACAGUCAGCGAAGGCUGACUCUUAAAUUCUAAUUAAAUUUUCUAAUUCUAUUUAGCUAUAUAAACACGAACCACGCGUAAACAUAGUUCCAUAUUCAGAAUAAUCGUAACAAGUGGGUCGCUCGUGGAUGGUUAUAACCUAUUUUCGCUGUUGCACAACUCUAUCUUACAAAGUGCGCAUAUGUAGUGGAACUGGCUCGCUGUUAUAGCAACUGUUCCAGUUACUCAAUUCGAUCAAUAAUUUAUCGAACAUGUUCCUUGAACUGCUAUCUACUUUCAGAAUACGCUAUGCAUAAUUACAAAACGUCAACCUGUCUCUUCUAUUACUAAAUACUUUAAAGUUCUUUGUGCAGGAAACGAAUUACAAAUUUAGACACAAAACGUUGCUUUAAGGAGUCAAAAACAAAAGCCAUUGUUUACAAAUGAGUAAUAGACUACUAGUUCCUACUUAAACAUGUACUGUUUUGCAUUUUUACUUUAAAAGAGUAAACGUAAAUAUUUUAGGAAUGAGGAAACACUCAAAACUGCAUAACUAUGCGUUGAACAAAAGCUACUACAAACAAAAUAAUAAUAGUGAAUUAAAAUAUUUUUGGGCAGCAGUUCGCUUCACAUUCGUGACCUACAUCGAUACCGUAAUCGGGCUCGCUCCACGCGCGCCAUAUUAGUACUUAACACAUUACACUGUGAGAUAACUGCCAAAAGCAUUGUUUAAGUAACACCUAUUGUGUUAUUUUAGCUACUCAUUCGCCUCGCAUUUUUUGUUACCUUGAAUCAUCGCGGAUGUUCAUUGCAACUCGGUUUUACUAUUCAAACUACGCAAUUUACGUGUUCGAUUGUGACGUAGCGCCGUACCUAGCUAAUAGUGAACAAUGUUAGCGGCGCGGCUGCGCGGGCGCGGUGAGCUGAUAUAAAACCGUGAUAGCAUUAGCAAUGCCUGGAGCGUGAAUGUUCUGUUAUCGACUGUUAUAUCACAACGCUGUUACCUAAUGUGUUCUGAAUUAACGCGUAAUUGGUUGACAAAGCGACAAGCGUGACCAUCGCUGCUGGGCGGACAUGCGUACGCGCCGGGCUGUGGCUACUCUGGUCGAGGGUGUCCAAUAUCCGUAGCUAUCGUACAUCACACCCACCGGUAUUAUGGCCUAAUUUUCAUAGAUAUUUUAUUCGUGUGAGUUAACAAUCUAUCAGUAAGUCAGUUCAAAUAUGUGUUACGACAGUAUAAAUAUGAAGUCUUACAAAUUAGCAUAAGCGAAGUUAUAAAUAUACAUGUGUUAUCAGGCAACAAGAGCGUGGCAAGAGAAUUAGCCAGUAGUAGCUCGACCAGUUCCGCGCUUGCCAUUUACACACCUAAUGUAACUGUUUACUGAGCGGGGAGUGAUCUGCGCGCUUCUAGUACCGCAAUGUCUUCCGCGUUUUAAAUAUAGAACCCGAAGGUCGAAACGUUAUUCGCGUUGGAACUACGGCAGAUUGUUUGAAUGCAACAUAAACCUUGAAAUAACACGCGUGUCUAUUAUAUUUCGGUCAGCGAUGUAACUAACGGGGCUAUACGCGAACUGGUGAACAAGUUUUUGCACAUAUGGUACUGCUUAACGGAGACCUAACGCACUCAAGGUCUAACAAAGGCUAAACAAACAAUUAGCUAUAGUGUUGGUGGGGCAGCGGUCACGUUGCGCACGCGCAAUGUGUUUCCACUCACGUGAGUUUCGACAGCCCUGUGCCAUCAGCACCAGUAAAAUAUCUGAAGUGUUAUCAGCACCCUUAUCGCUGUUAGAUAUUUUUACACGCAGAUAGUGCGCGCUUCUAAAACUGUUGAUACAAGUAUUGUGCUUUAUCUAUUUCAACAAGAGGAAGAAUAUGUUUAAACAGAAAUCAGCAAGUAGCUGACUUGUAUUAUUAGUUGUGUGAGUGUUUAGUAAUAACCUCAAGACUUUACACAGGAUGUAUAUAGGUAGAGCGGCAGUGGGCAGCGGUCGGCGCGCCGGCCGGCGUAAGUGGUGCGCAGGAACAGGUUCCGCACGGAUCACAUGUGGUCGGCAGGUCGCCGACCCCGGGGACGAUAAUCCGAGGAGUGCCCUCACCCGCCGCUCUGCCACCGUCACAUUUAGGCCGCAAGAUAAAAAAAUAAAUAAUGUCUACGAAAUACGUCUUUGCGGUUGCAUCACUAACUAGAUGCAUACAUUAUGCAUAUUGCAUUAUACGUAACUGACUAGCUGUCUAUGCUUUGAUUGCGUGCCCACUAUUUUAUUAUUAAAAGAACAUUCUUAA